GACGAACGCUGGGCGGCGUGCCUAACACAUGCAAGUCGAGCGGAGUUGACAAGAGGAAGUUUUCGGAUGGAAUCUUGCCAGCUUAGCGGCGGACGGGUGAGUAACGCGUGAGCGACCAACCUUGCACAGGGGGAUAACGGACCGAAAGGUUCACUAAUACCGCAUGAGACCACGGUGUUGCAUGACACAGAGGUCAAAGGAGCAAUCCGGUGCAAGACGGGCUCGCGUCCGAUUAGGUAGUUGGUGGGGUAAUGGCCCACCAAGCCUAUGAUCGGUAGCCGACCUGAGAGGGUGAUCGGCCACAUUGGAACUGAGAUACGGUCCAAACUCCUACGGGAGGCAGCAGUGGGGAAUAUUGGGCAAUGGGGGAAACCCUGACCCAGCAACGCCGCGUGAAGGAAGAAGGUUUUCGGAUUGUAAACUUCUGUCCUUGGUGAAGAGAAGAAGACGGUAGCCAAGGAGGAAGCCCCGGCUAACUACGUG
rnacentral:rRNA from 1 species